rnacentral:tRNA from 1 species
ACCUUGGUGAUUCAGUGGUAGGAUUCAUGCCUUCCAUGCAGAAGACCUGGGUUCAAAUUCCAGCCAGUGUA